rnacentral:rRNA from 1 species
GGGGGGGGGGGGGGGGGGGGGGGGGGGGGGGGGGGCGAGCGGGGGGGGGCGGCGGGGGUGGGGUGCUCGAGUGGCGAACGGGUGGGUAACACGUGAGUAACCUGCCCUUGGCUUUGGGAUAACUUCAGGAAACUGGGGCUGAUACCGGAUAGGAGCUCCUGCUGCAUGGUGGGGGUUGGAAAGUUUCGGCGGUUGGGGAUGGACUCGCGGCUUAUCAGCUUGUUGGUGGGGUAGUGGCUUACCAAGGCUUUGACGGGUAGCCGGCCUGAGAGGGUGACCGGCCACAUUGGGACUGAGAUACGGCCCAGACUCCUACGGGAGGCAGCAGUGGGGAAUAUUGCACAAUGGGCGGAAGCCUGAUGCAGCAACGCCGCGUGCGGGAUGACGGCCUUCGGGUUGUAAACCGCUUUCGCCUGUGACGAAGCGUGAGUGACGGUAAUGGGUAAAGAAGCACCGGCUAACUACGUG